GACCGCCAGUGAAAAUCGAUUUUCACUGGCGGUUUUAUUACGCCGACCGCCAGUGAAAAUCAAUUUUCACUGGCGGUC
rnacentral:pre_miRNA from 7 species